GGUGAAGAACGUAGCGAAAUGCGAUAAGUAAUGUGAAUUGCAGAAUUCAGUGAAUCAUCGAAUCUUUGAACGCACAUUGCGCCCGCCAGCAUUCUGGCGGGCAUGCCUGUUCGAGCGUCAUUUCAACCCUCGAGCCCCCCCGGGGGCCUCGGUGUUGGGGGACGGCACACCAGCCGCCCCCGAAAUGCAGUGGCGACCCCGCCGCAGCCUCCCCUGCGUAGUAGCACACACCUCGCACCGGAGCGCGGAGGCGGUCACGCCGUAAAACGCCCAACUUUCUUAGAGUUGACCUCGGAUCAGGUAGGAAUACCCGCUGAACUUAAGCAUAUCAAUAAGCGGAGGA
rnacentral:misc_RNA from 1 species